GGCGAACGGGUGAGUAAUACAUCGGAACGUGUCCAGUAGUGGGGGAUAACCAGUCGAAAGAUUGGCUAAUACCGCAUACGAUCUACGGAUGAAAGCGGGGGACUCGCAAGGGCCUCGCGCUAUCGGAGCGGCCGAUGUCGGAUUAGCUUGUUGGCGGGGUAAAAGCCCACCAAGGCAACGAUCCGUAGCUGGUCUGAGAGGACGACCAGCCACACUGGAACUGAGACACGGUCCAGACUCCUACGGGAGGCAGCAGUGGGGAAUUUUGGACAAUGGGGGAAACCCUGAUCCAGCCAUGCCGCGUGAGUGAAGAAGGCCUUCGGGUUGUAAAGCUCUUUCGGCGGGGACGAAACGGUCCGUGACAACACCACGGACUAAUGACGGUACUCGCAGAAGAAGCACCGGCUAACUACGUGCCAGCAGCCGCGGUAAUACGUAGGGUGCAGGCGCUAAUCGGAAUUACUGGGCGUAAAGCGUGCGCAGGCGGCCUCUUAAGUCAGAUGUGAAAUCCCCGGGCUUAACCUGGGAACUGCGUUUGAAACUGGGAGGCUAGAGUGUGGAAGAGGGGGGUGGAAUUCCAGGUGUAGCAGUGAAAUGCGUAGAAAUCUGGAGGAACACCGAUGGCGAAGGCAGCCCCCUGGGCUGACACUGACGCUCAUGCACGAAAGCGUGGGGAGCAAACAGGAUUAGAUACCCUGGUAGUCC
rnacentral:rRNA from 1 species